rnacentral:piRNA from 1 species
UGUGUUUGUCAAUUUCAUAAA